rnacentral:lncRNA from 1 species
AGUUGUCAUCUAUGGAAAAUUACCAACAAUAUUAACAAUGCCACUUUGGCAAUGAAACAACUCAGUGACAACCUGAGAAACACAGAAAUCGGACCUGUGAGAUUUGUGGAAUCUAAUAUAGUUUCACUGCAGGAGAUUUCAACGUGUAAAUCCUAAAUGCAAGAAAAAGGGCCCUAAAGGUUAACAUUUACAUACUUUUUUUUAAUUUUAAAAAUUCCAGGUUCCCAUCAAAAUUUAUAAAUUCCUGGGCAGCACCAUAGUGUACACAUGGGGACAAAUAAAGUAAA